rnacentral:rRNA from 1 species
GACGAACGCUGGCGGCGUGCCUAAUACAUGCAAGUCGAACGCAGUGGGUACGGGUUAGUAACACGUGGGUAACCUCCCAUCAGAGGGGAUACCACUUGGAAACAGGUGCUAAACCGAUAUGGGUGGAUGGACCCGCGGUGCAUUAGCUAGUUGGGGAGGUAACGGCCACACAAGGACACGAUGCAUAGCGGACCUGAGAGGGUGAUCGGCCACACUGGAACUGAGACACGGCCCAGACUCCUACGGGAGGCAGCAGUAGGGAAUAGUCGGCAAUGGACGAAAGUCUGACCGAGCAACGCCGCGUGCGUGAAGAAGGUUUUCGGAUCGUAAAACUCUGUUGUUAGAGAGGCGUUAUCUAACCAGAAAGCCACGGCUAACUACGUGCCAGCAGCCGCGGUAAUUC